UACGAAGGGGGCUAGCGUUGUUCGGAAUUACUGGGCGUAAAGCGUACGUAGGCGGUGUUCCAUGUCAGAGGUGAAAGCCUGGGGCUCAACUCCAGAAUUGCCUUUGAAACGGGAACGCUUGAGUCCGAGAGAGGAUGGCGGAAUUCCUAGUGUAGAGGUGAAAUUCGUAGAUAUUAGGAAGAACACCGGUGGCGAAGGCGGCCAUCUGGCUCGGUACUGACGCUCAGGUUCGAAAGCGUGGGGAGCAAACAGG
rnacentral:rRNA from 1 species